rnacentral:rRNA from 1 species
UACGGGGGGGGCAAGCGUUGUUCGGAAUUACUGGGCGUAAAGGGCUCGUAGGCGGCCAACUAAGUCAGACGUGAAAUCCCUCGGCUUAACCGGGGAACUGCGUCUGAUACUGGAUGGCUAGAGGUUGGGAGAGGGAUGCGGAAUUCCAGGUGUAGCGGUGAAAUGCGUAGAUAUCUGGAGGAACACCGGUGGCGAAGGCGGCAUCCUGGACCGGUAUUGACGCUGAGGAGCGAAAGCCAGGGGAGCAAACGGG